GUGACUGCGUACCUUUUGUAUAAUGGGUCAGCGACUUAUAUUCUGUAGCAAGGUUAACCGAAUAGGGGAGCCGAAGGGAAACCGAGUCUUAACUGGGCGUUAAGUUGCAGGGUAUAGACCCGAAACCCGGUGAUCUAGCCAUGGGCAGGUUGAAGGUUGGGUAACACUAACUGGAGGACCGAACCGACUAAUGUUGAAAAAUUAGCGGAUGACUUGUGGCUGGGGGUGAAAGGCCAAUCAAACCGGGAGAUAGCUGGUUCUCCCCGAAAGCUAUUUAGGUAGCGCCUCGUGAAUUCAUCUCCGGGGGUAGAGCACUGUUUCGGCAAGGGGGUCAUCCCGACUUACCAACCCGAUGCAAACUGCGAAUACCGGAGAAUGUUAUCACGGGAGACACACGGCGGGUGCUAACGUCCGUCGUGAAGAGGGAAACAACCCAGACCGCCAGCUAAGGUCCCAAAGUCAUGGUUAAGUGGGAAACGAUGUGGGAAGGCCCAGACAGCCAGGAUGUUGGCUUAGAAGCAGCCAUCAUUUAAAGAAAGCGUAAUAGCUCACUGGUCGAGUCGGCCUGCGCGGAAGAUGUAACGGGGCUAAACCAUGCACCGAAGCUGCGGCAGCGACGCUUAUGCGUUGUUGGGUAGGGGAGCGUUCUGUAAGCCUGUGAAGGUGUGCUGUGAGGCAUGCUGGAGGUAUCAGAAGUGCGAAUGCUGACAUAAGUAACGAUAAAGCGGGUGAAAAGCCCGCUCGCCGGAAGACCAAGGGUUCCUGUCCAACGUUAAUCGGGGCAGGGUGAGUCGACCCCUAAGGCGAGGCCGAAAGGCGUAGUCGAUGGGAAACAGGUUAAUAUUCCUGUACUUGGUGUUACUGCGAAGGGGGGACGGAGAAGGCUAUGUUGGCCGGGCGACGGUUGUCCCGGUUUAAGCGUGUAGGCUGGUUUUCCAGGCAAAUCCGGAAAAUCAAGGCUGAGGCGUGAUGACGAGGCACUACGGUGCUGAAGCAACAAAUGCCCUGCUUCCAGGAAAAGCCUCUAAGCAUCAGGUAACAUCAAAUCGUACCCCAAACCGACACAGGUGGUCAGGUAGAGAAUACCAAGGCGCUUGAGAGAACUCGGGUGAAGGAACUAGGCAAAAUGGUGCCGUAACUUCGGGAGAAGGCACGCUGAUAUGUAGGUGAAG
rnacentral:rRNA from 1 species